rnacentral:rRNA from 1 species
UACGUAGGGACCAAGCGUUGUUCGGAUUUACUGGGCGUAAAGGGCGCGCAGGCGGCGCAUUUUGUCAGGCGUGAAAGCCCCGGGCUUAACCUGGGAACUGCGUUUGAUACGGAUGGGCUAGAGUUCGGGAGAGGAGAGUGGAAUUCCCAGUGUAGAGGUGAAAUUCGUAGAUAUCGGGAGGAAUACCAGUGGCGAAGGCGCUGUCCUGGACGAAGAUUGACGCUGAGGUGCGAAAGCGUGGGGAGCAAACAGG